AGUGAACGCUGGCGGUAGGCCUAACACAUGCAAGUCGAACGGCAGCACAGGAGAGCUUGCUCUCUGGGUGGCGAGUGGCGGACGGGUGAGGAAUACAUCGGAAUCUACUCUGUCGUGGGGGAUAACGUAGGGAAACUUACGCUAAUACCGCAUACGACCUACGGGUGAAAGCAGGGGACCUUCGGGCCUUGCGCGAUUGAAUGAGCCGAUGUCGGAGUAGCUAGUCGGCGGGGUAAAGGCCCACCAAGGCGACGAUCCGUAGCUGGUCUGAGAGGAUGAGCAGCCACACUGGAACUGAGACACGGUCCAGACUCCUACGGGAGGCAGCAGUGGGGAAUAUUGGACAAUGGGCGCAAGCCUGAUCCAGCCAUACCGCGUGGGUGAAGAAGGCCUUCGGGUUGUAAAGCCCUUUUGUUGGGAAAGAAAUCCAGCUGGCUAAUACCCGGUUGGGAUGACGGUACCCAAAGAAUAAGCACCGGCUAAUUUCGUGCCAGCAGCCGCAGUAA
rnacentral:rRNA from 1 species